UUGGGAUCAAGGUAGCUUGGGAUCAAGAAAUCUUGGUCUAUCUUGAUCAAGAAACCAGAUCUAAUUUACCACAUCAAGUGGAGAGGGAAUAAUAGCAAGAAAUACAAGCUUUCAACAGAGAGCAGCUGCGAGAGCCUGCAACAGUGGAGAGAGGUCAGAUCUAGUUCAGGCUUACAGUAAAUAAAGAGCGGAGCUUCACUUCAAGCAAGGAAGUUGCUGUGGAAGGCUGGCUGUGAGGCUCAGGCUUAAUAUCACAACACCAACUUACAAAGAAGUGGAGUUCUAGUCAGGAUCCUUUCUUGUCUGCCAAACAGGCCAAGAACGUGAAGAAACUUGACUUUCUGGCACCAUUCCACGUGAGAUGCCGGGGAGCUGAGAGCUGGGAAAAGCGGGUGAGCUGGCAGGAAACCAAACACAUUUCCAUCAAAAAUUUCAUUGGAAUAGACAUUUUCAUGCAACGUGUUAGGUUUUGGUGAACCAGCAUUAGCUGAGAGAAAAAUGUUCCACUGGAAAGUUUCCAACUUGUCCUAGUGCUAAGAUCUUGACACUCGGACCUCCUAUCUUUCGUUCAACUGAAAAAUGGAUUUCUAU